UGCCAGUAGUCAUAUGCUUGUCUCAAAGAUUAAGCCAUGCAUGUCUAAGUAUAAGCAAUUUAUACAGUGAAACUGCGAAUGGCUCAUUAAAUCAGUUAUCGUUUAUUUGAUAGUUCCUUUACUACAUGGUAUAACUGUGGUAAUUCUAGAGCUAAUACAUGCUUAAAAUCUCGACCCUUUGGAAGAGAUGUAUUUAUUAGAUAAAAAAUCAAUGUCUUCGGACUCUUUGAUGAUUCAUAAUAACUUUUCGAAUCGCAUGGCCUUGUGCUGGCGAUGGUUCAUUCAAAUUUCUGCCCUAUCAACUUUCGAUGGUAGGAUAGUGGCCUACCAUGGUUUCAACGGGUAACGGGGAAUAAGGGUUCGAUUCCGGAGAGGGAGCCUGAGAAACGGCUACCACAUCCAAGGAAGGCAGCAGGCGCGCAAAUUACCCAAUCCUAAUUCAGGGAGGUAGUGACAAUAAAUAACGAUACAGGGCCCAUUCGGGUCUUGUAAUUGGAAUGAGUACAAUGUAAAUACCUUAACGAGGAACAAUUGGAGGGCAAGUCUGGUGCCAGCAGCCG
rnacentral:rRNA from 1 species